GUCUAGUUCCUGCUUAAAGAGUCGAUUGAGAUGGUCGCUAUUUCCGUGGAUCUUGACUGCUCCGAGAGUCAAACUGGGCAAGCGAGCCAAAAACACUGUGCUAAACCCUCCUGAUCCGACCACCCGAGCGAAAUUCAUGCGGCAACGACGACACCAACUUGGCUGAUGGGUCUACGCGUGAUCGGUUUGAGUCUGAAGAACCUGGGUAGGCAGCCCAUGACAAGCAGCAGAGCGAUGGGAUGAAUUGAUAAAUUCUACUGUCAAAAUGGGAAUAAAUCGGAUAUUUAAAGGAGCAUGUUUGGGUGGAUUGUUGUUAGGUUCUUCAGUAGCAGUACUAGUAGUACUAGAGGGGAUGUAAAUGGUGGGUGUGGGCUGCAGGGAAGGCACAGAGAAGGUGAGUUGAGAAGAUCGAGAGAAUAAGAAAAUGGAAGGAAUGGGCCAACAUCACCUACACCAGCAGACAAAUAAGCCGGUGGUUGGACCUAGUCUGAGACUCAGACACAGAAAACAUACAUAUAUCCCGCUUCCUGCAGAAGGCAUAAAUCCGACAGCCUACGGAUCCAAUCCCACCGAAAUCUUUAUGAAUAUGAAUCUGAAAUAAUAAGGUGAUCAAUUUAUGUCUUUUUUGUUUUCUGUAUAUGUCAAUCGAUACACCAACAAUGGAAAGCACAGUUUUCUCA